GUACUAGCUCACAUGCCUUGAGAUUUUCACGUGGACUGUCAUCUUUUAAAUUAAUGAUCGCAUUAGAAACUUUUAUCUUCAUAGGCAUCACUUCCGCAACAGCUUCAUCUUCUAGAAAGUGCUGAAUGUUUGUGAGGGAAGACGUUAGAAAUUCAGCACUGAAGUUCUCAACGUGACACUGAAGAAAACCAUUUUUUACAGCCAGCAGAGAAUGUAUGAUGGCACUAGGCCCGCUUUCCCAUCUCAGACUAAUCUCGGGUGAUGGCUUAACUGGUCCAGCCACAGCUUUACAAUCAGAACCUACAGUCCUGUUGCAAAGAUAGUGUCGAACACUGAUAUUUCCAAGUUGAUUUGGUAUCACUUGAUUGACCUGAAGGCAUAUUUCUGUGUCUUCCCCUCUGAUGUCAAUUUCACCAUUAACACCAAAUAUUUGGAAAACCACAACAGACAUCUGUCAACAAAAAAUAAGAUAAAAAACAAGAUUUUAAAUUGAAUUUAUAUUGUUUUGUCUAUGAAGUUGCCUAAAUCUUUCUCCCCUCUCU
rnacentral:lncRNA from 1 species